rnacentral:rRNA from 1 species
AUACGGAGGGUGCAAGCGUUACUCGGAAUCACUGGGCGUAAAGCGCGCGCAGGCGGCUUGAUAAGUUGGAUGUGAAAGCCUACGGCUCAACCGUAGAACUGCAUCCAAAACUGUCAAGCUAGAGUCUGGGAGGGGAAGAUGGAAUUAGUUGUGUAGGGGUAAAAUCCGUAGAGAUAACUAGGAAUACCAAAAGCGAAGGCGAUCUUCUGGAACAGUACUGACGCUGAGGCGCGAAAGCGUGGGGAGCAAACAGAAUUAGAAACCCUAGUAGUCC